rnacentral:ncRNA from 1 species
UAAUUCUUGUAGCACCCCUUAAACCAAGACCUAUAGGGUGCAUAAAAACGUCUUUCAUAUCCUCGCUAAGGGUGCGAGGAAAUAGUAACUCCA